UACGGAGGGUGCAAGCGUUGUCCGGAUUUAUUGGGUUUAAAGGGUGCGUAGGUGGCCUUGUAAGUCCGUGGUGAAAGCCUCUCGCUUAACGAGAGAACUGCCAUGGAUACUGCAAGGCUUGAGUCCAGACGAGGUUGGCGGAAUGGAUGGUGUAGCGGUGAAAUGCAUAGAUACCAUCCAGAACCCCGAUUGCGUAGGCAGCUGACUAGGCUGGUACUGACACUGAGGCACGAAAGCGUGGGGAGCCGAACGAGG
rnacentral:rRNA from 1 species